GACGUGAGGCGCGAGCGUUGUCCGGAUUUAUUGGGCGUAAAGAGCGUGUAGGCGGCCAGGUAGGUCCGCUGUGAAAACUCGAGGCUCAACCUCGAGAUGUCGGCGGAAACCAUCUGGCUAGAGUCCGGAAGAGGAAAGUGGAAUUCCCGGUGUAGCGGUGAAAUGCGCAGAUAUCGGGAAGAACACCCGUGGCGAAGGCGGCUUUCUGGGACGGUACUGGACG
rnacentral:rRNA from 1 species